GUUUUUAUAGUAUAAUUUAAUAUCUAACAUUUUCAUUGUUAAGUUGCUUUUGCUAAAAAUA
rnacentral:tRNA from 1 species